rnacentral:tRNA from 1 species
GGGCCCGUGGCCUAGCCAGGAUAGGGCGGCAAGCAAAUUGCCCGCAAGCCUUCGGAGCUGCAAAUCGGGGGUUCGAAUCCCUCCGGGCCCGCCA